GCGGAAGUAGCUCAGUUGGUAGAGCACAACCUUGCCAAGGUUGGGGUCGCGGGUUCGAGUCCCGUCUUCCGCU
rfam:Bacteroidales bacterium KA00251 genomic scaffold Scaffold222, whole genome shotgun sequence.